rnacentral:rRNA from 1 species
UAGGGAAUCUUCCACAAUGGACGCAAGUCUGAUGGAGCAACGCCGCGUGAGUGAAGAAGGUUUUCGGAUCGUAAAGCUCUGUUGUUGGUGAAGAAGGAUAGAGGCAGUAACUGGUCUUUAUUUGACGGUAAUCAACCAGAAAGUCACGGCUAACUACGUGCCAGCAGCCGCGGUAAUACGUAGGUGGCAAGCGUUGUCCGGAUUUAUUGGGCGUAAAGCGAGCGCAGGCGGAAUGAUAAGUCUGAUGUGAAAGCCCACGGCUCACCGUGGAACUGCAUCGGAAACUGUCAUUCUUGAGUGCAGAAGAGGAGAGUGGAACUCCAUGUGUAGCGGUGGAAUGCGUAGAUAUAUGGAAGAACACCAGUGGCGAAGGCGGCUCUCUGGUCUGCAACUGACGCUGAGGCUCGAAAGCAUGGGUAGCGAACAGGAUUAGAUACCCUGGUAGUCCAUGCCGUAAACGAUGAGCGCUAGGUGUUGGG